GCAACGCGCGGAAGCAAAGCGCGGAAGCAAAGGGCCCAAGUAAAGCCUUUUUCUCGUGCAACUUUUCUGCACCACCCUUUCUCGAAAAACCAAUCAGCACUGUCCAAUCAGGGCUCCACCCUGUGGCUCUGUCAGACAUGGCAGAGUCACACCAAUAUAACAAUCUUUUUUUUCCAUCAACAGAACUAUAUGAUUGGUUUAGUACAAAUUCAAAAGUGUUAAAUGUUUCAGUGUUAGUAGAUUUUUUUGCAAAAGCAGUUAAUUUUACUCUAAUCGAGUCGCAUUAUGUAACUCUGGGCUGUAUAUUAUUAGUAGUUAAAAUCGAGUGUUAAAACAAAGUGUUUCCGUAUCAAAUCUAGAAUUGUUAAAAUGAAAUCAAUAAAUCUUGACUUCUUAACUCUGAACUCCAGAAUCUCAGGUUCCCACCAAGCCAAGCAACAGAAUCCAAGUCAUUUCACAACAAUUUGCUUUGCACAUGUCUGAGUUGUUCACCACGCUUGAUAUUAAGAGCACUUUGGUUGAGGAUGAAUCUCCAGUCGUCAGCGUCAGUCCCUCUCGCACCCUCACCCUCCAUGGCGUCUUCCAAGAUUCUCCAAAAAUGGUUAAGUGUUAAUAUCUCUGAAACUCCACAUCUCUGUAAUUGAGGCUUGUUGUUAUAGUUAUAGUAAAAAUGCAUUCCUUUGUUCCAUUUUUCAUUCUUAUGUUUUUUGUUUGUUAUGAUCCAGAAACCAACACUGGCUGUAUUACUUGUCCAGUGCAGUCAGUACCUAUGAGCAGUUGGUGUUUUUGUCCCCGGCCAAGCUUCCAUUUCAAUUUCAUACAUGUUGUAUUGAAGAAAAAUGUAUUUAGCAUACUGUUUUUUGUAUUGCCCAUAUCAGGCCUUUUGAUAAGCAAUAUGUGAAUGAAAGUGACAUGUGAAACAUGAACGUGUACAUUAUUCCACGUUGUUACAUGUUUUGAAAUAAAUGCAUCUCAGAAAAUCA